UCAUCAGAACAACAGCUCCCCUGACCUGAGAGAACUGUUUUCUAGGGAAAAAGGGUGCCUGUAAACUGUAAAGAGGUUGCUGACAUAACAAGGCUAGAUGACAUGCUGUGAAUUUUUCACUCAUCUGCUUCACAAGCUCUAACUGCAAGGUUUGAAACUAGUUCUGUGAUUUCUAACAUCAUAAGGUAACUGGAUAAUUGAAAGCAAACCAGAUGUACAGACACAGGAAUCAGAUACAUGCCGUACCUAGUAAUUUUACUCUGGUACUGUUUGGAACCAUGAAAAUCAGAAUUCCUUUCGACUGCUACAUGUACAGCUUGAGAGGUAAAAUAGUGGCAUCUACUUGCAUACCAUUGCAUACAAAUUAAAGUUUAUUAAAUUAAUUAAUCCGUGUCCAUUUUCUUGGCCUUCAGUUCCAUGUGGGAUAUUCUUUCUUUCAACGUAAUGCACUGAUUUCAUUAACACCAAUAUGUUCUCAGCCCAGAAAACUAUCUGGGAGAUACAAAGCUAUAGGCACAGACAAACAUCCUAUUUUUAGAAUCAAGAACAUGAAACACACCUAAACAUAUAACACUCAGUUACAAUCUCCUAGUUUAAGGCCUCUCGAGAACAUUGACAACUAAACUCACCACAAUUAUGCAUUAAAGGCUUUAGCUUGAAGAUGAACCAUGCAUGCUUUGACCAAGGCCAGACGGACUGGGACUAGGAGUUCGCUUUAUUUCAACCCCCUUUCCAGUAGACUGGGGACUCCAUUUUCCCCUUAGUUCACUGACACGUGGACUGUAUGCCCUCUGCGACAGACUUGGACUAUAUGCAGGUUUUAUAUCGUUCAACGAACCUGGAGUGGAACUGGUAACUUUUGGGCUUUGCGUACGGCG
rnacentral:lncRNA from 1 species